UUUCCGUAGGUGAACCUGCAGAGGGAUCAUUACUGAGUGAGGGCUCACGCCCGACCUCCAACCCUUUGUGAACCAAACUUGUUGCUUCGGGGGCGACCCUGCCUUUCGGGCAGUGCGCCCCCGGAGGAUAUCAAAACGCUGCAUCUUUGCGUCGGAGUAUCAAUCAAAUUGAACAAAACUUUCAACAACGGAUCUCUUGGUUCUGGCAUCGAUGAAGAACGCAGC
rnacentral:misc_RNA from 1 species